rnacentral:rRNA from 1 species
GAUGAACGCUGGCGGCGUGCCUAAUACAUGCAAGUCGAGCGAACAGACGAGGAGCUUGCUCCUCUGACGUUAGCGGCGGACGGGUGAGUAACACGUGGAUAACCUACCUAUAAGACUGGGAUAACUUCGGGAAACCGGAGCUAAUACCGGAUAAUAUAUUGAACCGCAUGGUUCAAUAGUGAAAGACGGUUUUGCUGUCACUUAUAGAUGGAUCCGCGCCACAUUAGCUAGUUGGUAAGGUAACGGCUUACCAAGGCAACGAUGCGUAGCCGACCUGAGAGGGUGAUCGGCCACACUGGAACUGAGACACGGUCCAGACUCCUACGGGAGGCAGCAGUAGGGAAUCUUCCGCAAUGGGCGAAAGCUUGACGGAGCAACGCCGCGUGAGUGAUGAAGGUCUUCGGAUCGUAAAACUCUGUUAUUAGGGAAGAACAAAUGUGUAAGUAACUAUGCACGUCUUGACGGUACCUAUUCAGAAAGCCACGGCUAACUACGUG